UACGAAGGGGGCUAGCGUUGCUCGGAAUCACUGGGCGUAAAGCGCACGUAGGCGGCUUGUUAAGUCAGGGGUGAAAUCCUGGAGCUCAACUCCAGAACUGCCUUUGAUACUGGGAAGCUUGAGUCCGGAAGAGGUGAGUGGAACUGCGAGUGUAGAGGUGAAAUUCGUAGAUAUUCGCAAGAACACCAGUGGCGAAGGCGGCUCACUGGUCCGGUACUGACGCUGAGGUGCGAAAGCGUGGGGAGCAAACAGG
rnacentral:rRNA from 1 species